CAUAGCGGUGGUGCUCUCUUACGUCCCUGCAGUGGAUCCCGCAGCCUGUGCAGUGUGGCGUAAACAAAGAAUAACAGCAAUAUAACGUACACUCAGCACUCGGCCGACCAGCUCCAGACCAAAGAUGCACAUGGGUCGGCUCAUCUGAUGCGAGACCAGCAUUCUGAUGCCAUCUACUGGAUGGAGUUGGAACAACAAGCUACAUUCAGAGACUGUAUGUUUUUCUGUUUUCCGUGGCAUGCCCGCAUGCGUGCCGUGCGUGUUUAAGUGUGUCUGUAGAAUACGUCACGGGCCAAUUAAAAAAAAAAGAAAAAAAAGGAGCUAGUGAUUUAUAGCAGCGCACAGACAUGAUCAAGUGGCGCUAUUAGCGGUUCUGUGUUCUAUGGCCAUCUGGCGCAGCAUACAUGGUGAGUGUGCAUGGGAGGGAAGAUAAGCCCAGCCAUGCAGAAAGAAUCCGUACCACAAACACACACACAUACACACGUAAGUGAUUGAAUUUGGAUUGCUUUAAACAACACCGAGGCAAGUCCUUACCCUAAUUUAUAUUUGAAGGACCUGCUUUCCAUUUAUGAAACGAAAAUUCUAAAAGAGAAUGAAUGCAUGUGACAAUAUACGCAAAGUAGAUGCUUGCAUGUGCACACCUUUUAAUCAUUCAACCACACCAAGGUUGAGACUCACGAUGUAGUCUCCACCAAAUAUUAAGACGUCCGACUUGGUUUUUUUUUACACAUUCAUUUUUGUGGCCCGUUGCCAGAUGUACGAUAAUUAUUGUAUUUCUCCCAUUAUUUCACCGUCUGUAUGAUCAACAAUUCCAAAAAUCCCAUAAUGUAGGAUAAUUACACCCCUUCAAUUUGUGGCUAUUAGCAAACACUAACAGGAUACAGUAAUCCCUGAAUUUCGCGGCUUCACUCCGUCACGAGUUUUCAAAUGUGUACUAAUGAAUAAAUCAUGCUGUUUUGUUGUUGAAUAUUCAUCCAAAGUAUGCAUAUUUAAGCCAAUUUUAUGUAUUUUUUGACUACAUGACGCAUUUUCAAGCCAACGCUUAA